CUUGGUUUGGAUCACAGAAUUUUAAAACACGAAGGAACUCCAAAAUUAGCUAUCUAGUCUGAACUUCUCAGUCCUCAGAUGAAGCAACUGAACACCAACAAGAUUAAUGGCCCAUCCCUGGAGUCACUCAGUUAGUCAGCAGCACAUCAGAACCCAGAACUCCUGGUUUCCAGCCCACAGAGUUUAUGAUGGGCAACUCCAAGAGAUCGAGGCAACUAAGAGCUACCAAGAAGGGCAACCCUUAGAACCUAAGAGGAGAACAAGUAAAUGAACAAUCUAAUUCACUCUGUGGACAUAGUAAUUUAUGGAACCCAAUACCCCAAAAAAGAGUGCAAGAUGGAAAAUACAAAUUACACAACUACUUAAAACUACCUCCACCCGUAUUCACAUUCUUCAACAGCGUUCAGUUUUGUCUUCAGAUCCCCCAAGUCUGUGACCAACUGGAAG